rnacentral:snRNA from 1 species
GUGCUCACUUCAGCAGCACGUGUACUAAAACUGGAGCAAUUCAGGAAAGAUUCACGUGGCCCCUGUGCAAGGACUCACGAAGCAUUUUAUAUUUCU